UACGUAGGUGGCAAGCGUUGUCCGGAUUUAUUGGGUUUAAAGGGUGCGUAGGCGGCUUUGUAAGUCAGUGGUGAAAUACGGUAGCUUAACUAUCGAGGUGCCAUUGAUACUGCAGAGCUUGAGUACAGAUGGGGUAGGCGGAAUUGACGGUGUAGCGGUGAAAUGCUUAGAUAUCGUCAAGAACACCUAUAGCGAAGGCAGCUUACUAGGCUGUAACUGACGCUGAGGCACGAAAGUGUGGGGAUCAAACAGG
rnacentral:rRNA from 1 species